CAGUCGCCGCGGGAAUACGAAGGGGGCUAGCGUUGUUCGGAUUAGCUGGGCGUGAAGGGUGCGUAGGCGGGUUUUUAAGUCAGAGGUGAAAUCCCAAGGCUCAACCUUGGAACUGCCUUUGAUACUGGAAAUCUUGAGUCCGGGAGAGGUGAGUGGAACUGCGAGUGUAGAGGUGAAAUUCGUAGAUAUUCGCAAGAGCACCAGUGGCGAAGGCGGCUCACUGGCCCGGAACUGACGCUGAGGCACGAAAGCGUGGGGAGCAAACAGGAUUAGAUACCCCUGUAGUCCCUGUCUCUUAUAA
rnacentral:rRNA from 1 species